CCUACGGGUGGCUGCAGUGAGGAAUAUUGGUCAAUGGGCGAGAGCCUGAACCAGCCAAGUAGCGUGAAGGAUGACUGCCCUAUGGGUUGUAAACUUCUUUUAUAUGGACAUAAAACAGCGUAUGCAUACCCUCUUGUAUGUACCAUAUGAAUAAGGUACGGCUAACUCCGUGCCAGCAGCCGCGGUAAUACGGAGGGUGCGAGCGUUAAUCGGAAUUACUGGGCGUAAAGCGCUCGUAGGCGGUAUGGCAAGUCAAGGGUGAAAUCCCCGCGCUUAACGUGGGAACGGCCUUUGAAACUGGCAAACUGGAGUGUGUGAGAGGAUAGUGGAAUUCCAGGUGUAGGAGUGAAAUGCGUAGAUAUCUGGAGGAACAUCAGUGGCGAAGGCGACGAUCUGGCACAUAACUGACGCUGAGGAGCGAAAGCGUGGGUAGCAAACAGGAUUAGAUACCCGAGUAGUC
rnacentral:rRNA from 1 species